rnacentral:lncRNA from 1 species
GUCAGACACCGCUGAGCUGCAGGGCCGAGGGGUCAUGUGGUUCCUGAGAGACACCACAGUACACUCUUCUGACUUACUAGGCGGACUUUGUCUACACACCAGGGAAGAUGGCUUCAGGCAGUCCACAUACUCCCAUGCCUAUGACACAAAGUUUGCGUCAAAUGCCGAAUGACCGUAGAAAGGUGGACGUUGAGUUCUUCAGCAGCUUCUGGUGUAGUUGUAAGAGGACCAGCUUCCGUGAUUGCUCUCAGUUGGUGGUUGUCAACUUCCGACGACUGGCCGCUACGCUCCUCAUCUUCAAGGCUCUCCUCUCUUUUGCAAAACUUCUUGAACCCCCACUGCACGGUAACUGUGGCCACGUGGACCAAGCCAACGCCGGCUCCUCUCAUUCCCAUUGAGAUCAGCAAGGCAACUCCAGCCUGUACCACCAAUAUCCCCAGGCCAGGAGAACAGCCAGUGAAAGCCCAUUUGAAAGACUGCCAUAUUCCUCACCAAUCCGUUUCUCAAGGCCAAGGUGAGUGGAGAGCCUUCCAGCCCUCACGGGAGCCACAUGGAGGCGGGAGGAGCUGG